GCUUCACUUUGCAGAGAUAGUAAUCAGGGACAAUAGAUCCUUCCAAAGUCUGGGAAGACGUAUAUUUGAUGUUUAUAUCCAGGAUGAACGCGUUUUGCCGGAUUUUGAAAUCAAGAAGGAAGUACAAGGGGUAGAUAAAGAACUAAUUAAACAAUUUAAAGCAGUUGUGAAGGAUGGAACUUUAGAGAUCCGCUUUCGAUGGGUUGGGAAAGGAACAACAACUGCCCCCCAGAAAGGAAUAUAUGGUCCUCUCAUAUCUGCCAUUGAUGUGCAAGCUGAUUUCAAGCCUCCUAUAAACCGGAAGAAAUUCAUUGUGGCUGGAGCCAUUGUUUUGCCCUUGUUCCUCAUUUUCAUUAUCAUG
rnacentral:misc_RNA from 1 species